CUACGGGAGGCAGCAGUGGGGAAUAUUGCACAAUGGGCGCAAGCCUGAUGCAGCCAUGCCGCGUGUAUGAAGAAGGCCUUCGGGUUGUAAAGUACUUUCAGCGGGGAGGAAGGGAGUAAAGUUAAUACCUUUGCUCAUUGACGUUACCCGCAGAAGAAGCACCGGCUAAGACCGUGCCAGCAGCCGCGGUAAUACGGAGGGUGCAAGCGUUAAUCGGAAUUACUGGGCGUAAAGCGCACGCAGGCAGUUUGUUAAGUCAGAUGUGAAAUCCCCGGGCUCAACCUGAGAACUGCAUCUGAUACUGGCAAGCUUGAGUCUCGUAGAGGGGGGUAGAAUUCCAGGUGUAGCGGUGAAAUGCGUAGAGAUCUGGAGGAAUACCGGUGGCGAAGGCGGCCCCCUGGACGAAGACUGACGCUCAGGUGCGAAAGCGUGGGGAGCAAACAGGAUUAGAUACCCCAGUAGUC
rnacentral:rRNA from 1 species